CGCCUACGGGGCGCAGCAGUGGGGAAUAUUGCACAAUGGGGGAAACCCUGAUGCAGCGACGCCGCGUGAAGGACGAAGUAUUUCGGUACGUAAACUUCUAUCAGCAGGGAAGAAAAUGACGGUACCUGACCAAGAAGCCCCGGCUAACUACGUGCCAGCAGCCGCGGUAAUACGUAGGGGGCAAGCGUUAUCCGGAUUCACUGGGUGUAAAGGGAGCGUAGACGGCGAGACAAGUCUGGAGUGAAAGGCCGGGGCCCAACCCCGGGACUGCUCUGGAAACUGCCUGGCUGGAGUACAGGAGAGGG
rnacentral:rRNA from 1 species